GCCGGGGUGGCGGAACUGGCAGACGCACAGGCUUAAAAAUCCUGCGGUGAGUGAUCACCGUGCCGGUUCGAUUCCGGCCCUCGGCACCA
rnacentral:tRNA from 1 species